GGCCCCAUCGUCUAGCCAGGCCUAGGACACAAGGUUUUCAUCCUUGCAACAGGGGUUCGAAUCCCCUUGGGGUCA
rnacentral:tRNA from 1 species